rnacentral:rRNA from 1 species
UAGUUCGAUCCUGGCUCAGGAUGAACGCUGGCGGCAUGCCUAAUACAUGCAAGUCGAACGGAGUGAAGCCUUCGGGUUUCAUUCAGUGGCGAACGGGUGAGUAAUACGCAGGGAACCUGGCCAUGGCAGGGGGAUACACUCUGGAAACGGAGCAUAAGACCCCAUAGGCAGUAAGGCGGCAUCGCCUUACUGUUAAAGAAAGCUGAAAGGCUUUGGCGAUGGAUGGACCUGCGGUGCAUUAGCUUGUUGGUGAGGCAACGGCUUACCAAGGCGAUGAUGCAUAGCCGGCCUGAGAGGGCGGACGGCCACACUGGGACUGAGACACGGCCCAGACUCCUGCGGGAGGCAGCAGUAGGGAAUUUUCGUCAAUGGGCGCAAGCCUGAACGAGCAAUGCCGCGUGAGUGAGGAAGGUCUUCGGACUGUAAAGCUCUGUUGCCGGGGAAAAAGGGGAAAUGCAGGAAAUGGCAUUUCAUGGAUGGUACCCGGCCAGAAAGCCACGGCUAACUACGUGCCAGCAGCCGCGGUAAUACGUAGGUGGCGAGCGUUAUCCGGAAUGAUUGGGCGUAAAGGGUGCGCAGGCGGUCUGUUAAGUCUGAAGGCAAAGGGAUGAGCUCAACUCAUUUAUGAUUCAGAAACUGGCAGACUUGAGGACAGGAGAGGGCGGUGGAACUCCAUGUGUAGCGGUAAAAUGCGCAGAGAUAUGGAAGAACACCAGUGGCGAAGGCGGCCGCCUGGCCUGUGACUGACGCUGAGGCACGAAAGCGUGGGGAGCAAAUAGGAUUAGAUACCCUAGUAGUCCACGCCGUAAACGAUGAGGAGCAGGUGUUGGGAGUGAAAUCUCAGUGCCGAAGCCAACGCAGUGACUCCUCCGCCUGGGGAGUAUGCACGCAAGUGUGAAACUCAAAGGAAUUGACGGGGGCCCGCACAAGCGGUGGAGUAUGUGGUUUAAUUCGAAGCAACGCGAAGAACCUUACCAGGUUUUGACAUCGGAUGCGAAGGCGCAGAGAUGCGCUGGAGGCUAUCAUCCAGACAGGUGGUGCAUGGUUGUCGUCAGCUCGUGUCGUGAGAUGUUCAGUUAAGUCUGGCAACGAGCGCAACCCCCGUGGUAUGUUACUAACGCAUUUGGGCGAGGACUCAUAUCAGACUGCCGGUGACAAACCGGAGGAAGGCGGGGAUGACGUCAAAUCAUCAUGCCCCUUAUGACCUGGGCUACACACGUACUACAAUGGCGUCUACAGAGGGAAGCGACCCUGAGAAGGGAAGCGAAACCGGAAAAGGGCGUCCCAGUUCGGAUUGAAGUCUGCAACCCGACUUCAUGAAGAUGGAAUCGCUAGUAAUCGCGGAUCAGCAUGCCGCGGUGAAUACGUUCCCGGGCCUUGUACACACCGCCCGUCAAACCAUGGAAGCCGGCAACGCCCGAAGCCGGUGGCAUAACCUUUUAGGAGUGAGCCGUCGAAGGCGGGGCCGAUGACUGGGGUUAAGUCGUAACAAGGUACCC